UACGUAGGGGGCAAGCGUUGUCCGGAUUUAUUGGGCGUAAAGAGCGUGUAGGCGGCCAAGCAGGUCCGCUGUGAAAACUCGAGGCUCAACCUCGAGACGUCGGUGGAAACCGUUUGGCUAGAGUCCGGAAGAGGAGAGUGGAAUUCCCGGUGUAGCGGUGAAAUGCGCAGAUAUCGGGGAAGAACACCCGUGGCGAAGGCGGCUCUCUGGGACGGUACUGACGCUGAGACGCGAAAGCGUGGGGAGCCGAACAGG
rnacentral:rRNA from 1 species